rnacentral:rRNA from 1 species
UACGAAGGGGGCUAGCGUUGUUCGGAAUCACUGGGCGUAAAGCGCACGUAGGCGGAUCCUUAAGUCAGGGGUGAAAUCCCGAGGCUCAACCUUGGAACUGCCUUUGAUACUGGGGAUCUUGAGUCCGGGAGAGGUGAGUGGAACUGCGAGUGUAGAGGUGAAAUUCGUAGAUAUUCGCAAGAACACCAGUGGCGAAGGCGGCUCACUGGCCCGGUACUGACGCUGAGGUGCGAAAGCGUGGGGAGCAAACAGG